rnacentral:rRNA from 1 species
UACAGAGGGUGCGAGCGUUGUCCGGAAUCACUGGGCGUAAAGGGCGCGUAGGUGGCGACCCAAGUCGAUGGUGAAAGCUCGCCGCUCAACGGCGAGUCGGCCACUGAUACUGGGUUGCUCGAGCACUGUAGAGGCAGAUGGAAUUCCGGGUGUAGCGGUGGAAUGCGUAGAGAUCCGGAAGAACACCGGUGGCGAAGGCGGUCUGCUGGGCAGUUGCUGACACUGAGGCGCGGACAGCGUGGGGAGCAAACAGGG